rnacentral:ncRNA from 1 species
UCAAUGGUUUUUCGUCAAGAAAAUUAAAAAGGAAUCCAGUCAAAGUCUGGAACUGACGCGCAGCGGUAGAAGGGACGCUUGUACGUUAUACACUGGCAUCUGCCGGGAAGUGGUAUUAAGCGGUUAGUCACCUUUGAGUCCGAAGACUUGCCUGACAGC